UGGAGUGUAGCUCAGUCGGCAGAGCAAGUGGCUGUUAACCACUGGGUCGGCGGUUCGAGCCCGUCCACUCCAGCCA
rnacentral:tRNA from 1 species